GCCCGAACGAACCGCCGCGCUCGCUUGGGCCCUCAGGGAGAGAGCUCCGCGUUUAACUGCUAAAUACGGCAGGUAGAGAAUAUCUUGGAUGGCCGAACCAUUGACAUUGUUACAGACUAAGCUCUGUUUCCUGACUGUCAGAUAAAGAAGAGAGAGGGCCUGAUCCCUCAAGGUUCUAACUAACCAUAUUUCUGCAGGCAUCCUGAGGCUUCAAGAGCUGGAAUGGAAUUGAAAGAGAAGACAGCAUUUCUAGCUUCUUUCUACAUAAGAGGAGAAAGAGAGGAAAAAAUAGGAACAAGAGCCAGUAUCAGAAGUGGUGAUCUACAGCAAAAUGGAGCUAGACAGCACAUGCAAAACGGAGCUAGACAGUACAGCAAGACGGAGCUUGAGAAAGAUUAUUAGGCAUUUAGGCAGCGUGUUGGGGGAGAAGGAAACCAAGUCCCUGGCAAAUAUAUGCAGAAGAGAAAGGGCAAAAAUACAUACAGAGGAAGCCAAAGACCAAGAAGCAGAGAAGCACAUGCAGAUUAACAGAAUAAAGAAACAGAAUAGAUGGGAGGAGAGAUGAAACA